rnacentral:rRNA from 1 species
GAUGAACGCUGGCGGCGUGCCUAAUACAUGCAAGUCGAGCGAACGGACGAGAAGCUUGUUUCUCUGAUGUUAGCGGCGGACGGGUGAGUAACACGUGGAUAACCUACCUAUAAGACUGGGAUAACUUCGGGAAACCGGAGCUAAUACCGGAUAAUAUUUUGAACCGCAUGGUUCAAAAGUGAAAGACGGUCUUGCUGUCACUUAUCGAUGGAUCCGCGCUGCAUUAGCUAGUUGGUAAGGUAACGGCUUACCAAGGCAACGAUGCAUAGCCGACCUGAGAGGGUGAUCGGCCACACUGGAACUGAGACACGGUCCAGACUCCUACGGGAGGCAGCAGUAGGGAAUCUUCCGCAAUGGGCGAAAGCCUGACGGAGCAACGCCGCGUGAGUGAUGAAGGUCUUCGGAUCGUAAAACUCUGUUAUUAGGGAAGAACAUAUGUGUAAGUAACUGUGCACAUCUUGACGGUACCUAAUCAGAAAGCCACGGCUAACUACGUG